UGUACCUACGGGGGGCAGCAGUAGGGAAUCUUCCACAAUGGACGAAAGUCUGAUGGAGCAACGCCGCGUGAGUGAAGAAGGUUUUCGGAUCGUAAAACUCUGUUGUUAGAGAAGAACGUGUGUGAGAGUAACUGUUCAUGCAGUGACGGUAUCUAACCAGAAAGCCACGGCUAACUACGUGCCAGCAGCCGCGGUAAUACGUAGGUGGCAAGCGUUGUCCGGAUUUACUGGGCGUAAAGGGAACGCAGGCGGUUUUUUAAGUCUGAUGUGAAAGCCCU
rnacentral:rRNA from 1 species